GAACGCUAGCGGCAGGCUUAAUACAUGCAAGUCGUGGGGCAGCAUGAGUAGCAAUACUUGAUGGCGACCGGCAAACGGGUGAGGAACACGUACACAACCUUCCUUCAAGCGGGGAAUAGCCCAGAGAAAUUUGGAUUAAUACCCCAUAAUAUAUUUGAUAAGGCAUCUUAUUAAUAUUAAAAGCUUCGGCACUUGAUGAUGGGUGUGCGGCUGAUUAGAUAGUUGGCGGGGUAACGGCCCACCAAGUCUACGAUCAGUAGCUGAUGUGAGAGCAUGAUCAGCCACACGGGCACUGAGACACGGGCCCGACUCCUACGGGAGGCAGCAGUAAGGAAUAUUGGACAAUGGACGAAAGUCUGAUCCAGCCAUGCCGCGUGAAGGAUUAAGGUCCUCUGGAUUGUAAACUUCUUUUAUAUGGGACGAAAAAGGGCAUUCUUGUUCACUUGACGGUACCAUAUGAAUAAGCACCGGCUAACUCCGUG
rnacentral:rRNA from 1 species